AAUCCAUAGGUUAAUGAGGCGAACCGGGGGAACUGAAACAUCUAAGUACCCCGAGGAAAAGAAAUCAACCGAGAUUCCCCCAGUAGCGGCGAGCGAACGGGGAGGAGCCCAGAGCCUGAAUCAGCAUGUGUGUUAGUGGAAGCGUCUGGAAAGGCGCGCGAUACAGGGUGACAGCCCCGUACACAAAAGCGCAUGUGCUGUGAGCUCGAUGAGUAGGGCGGGACACGUGGUAUCCUGUCUGAAUAUGGGGGGACCAUCCUCCAAGGCUAAAUACUCCUGACUGACCGAUAGUGAACCAGUACCGUGAGGGAAAGGCGAAAAGAACCCCGGCGAGGGGAGUGAAAAAGAACCUGAAACCGUGUACGUACAAGCAGUGGGAGCACAGGUUUACCUGUGUGA
rnacentral:rRNA from 1 species